UUCGUAAUGCGGCCGUGCUGGUAACGUUCCAGCGCGACGGUCCCAAGCCCGAAAAACGCAGAGGGAGAA
rnacentral:ribozyme from 2 species